CUUGGUUUUCGUGGUUUUGGUGUGAAGACAAGACCACAGAAAAAGCAUUUGUCCCUAUCAGCUUUAAUAUCUGAUAUGUCCUUUGCCUAAGGACCCUAUAUUAAACUGAUUUUUGGAGCAGGGAGUUGGAAUACGAGCUUUCUCCAUGCAUUAUUGUGGUAUUGCAGUGUUCCCAGGAAUGAUGAAGUCUUA